GACGAACGCUGGCGGCGUGCUUAACACAUGCAAGUCGAACGAAGUGGCGAACGGGUGAGUAAUACGUGGGUAACCUGCCCUCCUUUUUGGGAUAAGCCUUGGAAACGGGGUCUAAUACCGAAUAAAGGGGGAUGGGCUCGCGGCCUAUCAGCUUGUUGGUGGGGUGAUGGCCUACCAAGGCGGUGACGGGUAGCCGGCCUGAGAGGGUGACCGGGCACAUUGGGCCUGAGAUACGGCCCAGACGCCUACGGGAGGGAGCAGGGGGGGAUAUGGCACAAUGGGCGAAAGCCUGAUGCAGCGACGCCGCGUGGGGGAUGAAGGUGUUCGGGUUGUAAACCGCUGUGGCUAGCGAACGGGUAGGUGGAGAAGAAGCGCCGGCUAACUACGUGCCAGCAGCCGCGGUAAUUC
rnacentral:rRNA from 1 species